rnacentral:rRNA from 1 species
AUUGAACGCUGGCGGCAGGCCUAACACAUGCAAGUCGAGCGGAUGAAGUGAGCUUGCUCCUGGAUUCAGCGGCGGACGGGUGAGUAAUGCCUAGGAAUCUGCCUGGUAGUGGGGGAUAACGUCCGGAAACGGGCGCUAAUACCGCAUACGUCCUGAGGGAGAAAGUGGGGGAUCUUCGGACCUCACGCUAUCAGAUGAGCCUAGGUCGGAUUAGCUAGUUGGUGGGGUAAAGGCCUACCAAGGCGACGAUCCGUAACUGGUCUGAGAGGAUGAUCAGUCACACUGGAACUGAGACACGGUCCCGACUCCUACGGGAGGCAGCAGUGGGGAAUAUUGGACGAUGGGCGAAAGCCUGAUCCAGUCAUGCCGCGUGUGUGAAGAAGGUCUUCGGAUUGUAAAGCACUUUAAGUUGGGAGGAAGGACAGUAAGUUAAUACCUUGCUGUUUUGACGUUACCCACAGAAUAAGCACCGGCUAACUUCGUG